ACCCUCGCCAAGUGUCUGAAAGCCCAGCGGCAGCCUGGCUCCUUCCCUCACCAACUCAUUCAUUCAUUGCCUGACCCCAUUUCCCAAGCUGGUGGCCACGGCUGGCCAGGACUCGCUUCUAAAGGGCGCAGGGUCUGGCUUCCUCACCAGCAGCCACAGGGCACAGCUCCCGGACCAGCCGGCAGCCCCUCCCAAGGAGGAGGUUAUUCUGGAGACAAAGGCAGUGCCGUAGAGUAUGAUCCUGUGUCCAUCAACACUUCCUAACGUGCAUGUAGAAGCUAAAAUUGUUAAGAUUUGCGAAAUACUUUUACCUCGAAGUUGGCAGUGACAUCAUUCUGUUUUUUCCUGGGUGGGGAGGAGUAAUUUCAGAAGGAGACAUUUUGUAAAAUUAAAAGAGGCAUGAGCUCCUCCUUCCUGGCAACCUGGGGGAUCAGAAAGACAGACGGCACCUCCCCAGGCACCUGCGCUUGUGUCCGAUGGCAAAGCCAUUGUCAAGCGACCCUGAUGCUGUCACUGGUCACCCGGAGCCCAUCAGCAUGUUGAAGG
rnacentral:antisense_RNA from 1 species